GGAAGUGGUAGCUCAGUGGUUAAGGCUCUGGGUUCCUGAUCAGAAGGUCCUGGGUUCAAGCCCCAACACCACCA